rnacentral:RNase_P_RNA from 1 species
UCAGAUGGCCGGAUGGCCGCUGUCGAAAGGCAGAGGAAAGUCCGGGCUCCACGGAAGCACGGUGCCGGAUAACGUCCGGCGGGGGCGACCCCAGGGAAAGUGCCACAGAAAGCAAACCGCCUGCGGGGCAACCGGCAGGUAAGGGUGAAAGGGUGCGGUAAGAGCGCACCGCGCGGCCGGUAACGGUCGUGGCAGGGCAAACCCCACCGGGAGCAAAACCGAAUAGGGGUGGCGCGUCCUCCUUUGCGAGGACAGGUCCGUUUCCGGACCGCCGCCCGGGUUGGUUGCAGGAGGCGUCCGGCAACGGGCGUCCCAGAUGAAUGGCCAUCGACCGCCUUCGGGCGGGACACAGAACCCGGCUUACAGGCCAUCUGACCCU